UAGGGAAUCUUCGGCAAUGGGGGCAACCCUGACCGAGCAACGCCGCGUGAGUGAAGAAGGUUUUUCGGAUCGUAAAGCUCUGUUGUAAGUCAAGAACGGGUGUGAGAGUGGAAAGUUCACACUGUGACGGUAGCUUACCAGAAAGGGACGGCUAACUACGUGCCAGCAGCCGCGGUAAUACGUAGGUCCCGAGCGUUGUCCGGAUUUAUUGGGCGUAAAGCGAGCGCAGGCGGUUUGAUAAGUCUGAAGUUAAAGGCUGUGGCUCAACCAUAGUUCGCUUUGGAAACUGUCAAACUUGAGUGCAGAAGGGGAGAGUGGAAUUCCAUGUGUAGCGGUGAAAUGCGUAGAUAUAUGGAGGAACACCGGUGGCGAAAGCGGCUCUCUGGUCUGUAACUGACGCUGAGGCUCGAAAGCGUGGGGAGCGAACAGGAUUAGAUACCCUGGUAGUCCACGCCGUAAACGAUGAGUGCUAGGUGUUGGAUCCUUUCCGGGAUUCAGUGCCGCAGCUAACGCAUUAAGCACUCCGCCUGGGGAGUACGACCGCAAGGUUGAAAC
rnacentral:rRNA from 1 species